rfam:Ornithorhynchus anatinus chromosome X1, whole genome shotgun sequence.
CCUCUCUCAGGAUCACACCUGGGGAGUUUUCAGUACUCUACCAGUCUUGACUACAGGAAGGAGAGUCAAGCAGAGGCAUAUACAUUCCAUUCUUAGCUUAGGUAGUGGCUAGCGAGUGGAAGGAAAUCUGCUACAAGU